UUCCUCCUGAGUCAGGCGGAGGAGAGGAAGCAGGUGGAGAUGCAGGGAAAGGAUCUGUUGGCAGAAACGGGACCAGAUUCCUCUGAGGCAGAGAGGACUUUGCUGGAUACCAGAGAGAAGCCUCUGGGUGAAAGAAGAAUGCCGGCAAGACCUCCUCCUCCAUCUCUUCCUCCUGGUGGAGG